rnacentral:rRNA from 1 species
UGGGGAAUCUUCCGCAAUGGACGAAAGUCUGACGGAGCAACGCCGCGUGAGUGAAGAAGGUUUUCGGAUCGUAAAACUCUGUCUUUUGGGGCGAACGUGAGUAUGGUGAACAAUCAUAGUCAGUGACGGUACCAAAGGAGGAAGCCACGGCUAACUACGUGCCAGCAGCCGCGGUAAUACGUAGGUGGCAAGCGUUGUCCGGAAUUAUUGGGCGUAAAGAGCGCGUAGGCGGGAUAGUCAGUCUGUUGUAAAAGUGCGGGGCUCAACCCCGUGAUCGCAAUGGAAACAGCUAUUCUUGAGUGCAGGAGAGGAAAGUGGAAUUCCCAGUGUAGCGGUGAAAUGCGUAGAUAUUGGGAGGAACACCAGUGGCGAAGGCGACUUUCUGGACUGUGUCUGACGCUGAGGCGCGAAAGCCAGGGGAGCGAACGGGAUUAGAUACCCCGGUAGUCCUGGCCGUAAACGAUGGGUACUAGGUGUGGGAGGUAUCGACCCCUUCCGUGCCGGAGUUAACGCAAUAAGUACCCCGCUGGGGAGUACGGUCGCAAGACUGAAACUU